rnacentral:rRNA from 1 species
GGUGUAGGCGGUAUUGUUAGUCAUAGGUGAAAAUUACAGGCUUAACUUGUAACCUGCCUGUGAUACUGCAGUACUAGAGGACGGGAGAGGAGAGCGGAACUACCGGUGUAGCGGUGGAAUGCACAGAUAUCGGUAGGAACACCAGAGGCGAAGGCGGCUCUCUAGAACGUUCCUGACGCUGAGGCCCGAAAGCUGGGGGAGCAAACA